UACGGAGGGUGCAAGCGUUAAUCGGAAUUACUGGGCGUAAAGCGUGCGCAGGCAGUUUGUUAAGUCCGUUGUGAAAGCCCCGAGCUCAACUUGGGAAUUGCAGUGGAUACUGGCAGGCUGGAGUACGGUAGAGGAAGGUGGAAUUCCCGGUGUAGCAGUGAAAUGCGUAGAGAUCGGGAGGAACACCAGUGGCGAAGGCGGCCUUCUGGACCAGUACUGACGCUCAUGCACGAAAGCGUGGGGAGCAAACAGG
rnacentral:rRNA from 1 species